GUCUUCGUGGUAUAACAGUAGCACACUUGGCUCGCAUUCGAGAGGUCGAGGUUCGAUUCCUGGCGAGGGCA
rfam:Stegodyphus mimosarum contig77241, whole genome shotgun sequence.